rnacentral:rRNA from 1 species
UACGUAGGUGGCAAGCGUUGUCCGGAAUUAUUGGGCGUAAAGCGCGCGCAGGCGGUUCUUUAAGUCUGAUGUGAAAGCCCACGGCUCAACCGUGGAGGGUCAUUGGAAACUGGGGGACUUGAGUACAGAAGAGGAAAGCGGAAUUCCACGUGUAGCGGUGAAAUGCGCAGAGAUGUGGAGGAACACCAGUGGCGAAGGCGGCUUUCUGGUCUGCAACUGACGCUGAGGCGCGAAAGCGUGGGGAGCAAACAGG